rnacentral:rRNA from 1 species
CGGCCGGGCAAGUCCAUUGGGAAAUCGACGCGCUCAACGCGUCGGCGCCCGGUGGAAACUGUCCGGCUUGGGGCCAGGCGACCCAGGGGGUACGUCCGGGGUAGGAGUGAAAUCCCGUAAUCUCGGACGGACCACCGAUGGCGAAAGCACCCUGGGAGACUGGACCCGACGGUGAGGGACGAAAGCCAGGGUCUCAAACCGGAUUAGAUACCCGGGUAGUCCUGGCCGUAAACGAUGCCCGUUAGGUGUGGCGCAGACUACGAGUCUGCGCUGUGCCGAAGUGAAGACGAUAAACGGGCCGCCUGGGAA